UGGGGAAUUUUGGACAAUGGGCGAAAGCCUGAUCCAGCAAUGCCGCGUGUGUGAAGAAGGCCUUCGGGUUGUAAAGCACUUUUGUCCGGAAAGAAAUCCUUGGCUCUAAUACAGUCGGGGGAUGACGGUACCGGAAGAAUAAGCACCGGCUAACUACGUGCCAGCAGCCGCGGUAAUACGUAGGGUGCAAGCGUUAAUCGGAAUUACUGGGCGUAAAGCGUGCGCAGGCGGUUUGCUAAGACCGAUGUGAAAUCCCCGGGCUCAACCUGGGAACUGCAUUGGUGACUGGCAGGCUAGAGUAUGGCAGAGGGGGGUAGAAUUCCACGUGUAGCAGUGAAAUGCGUAGAGAUGUGGAGGAAUACCGAUGGCGAAGGCAGCCCCCUGGGCCAAAUACUGACGCUCAUGCACGAAAAGCGUGGGGAGCAAAACAGGAUUAGAUACCCUGGUAGUCCACGCCCUAAAACGAUGUCAACUAGUUGUUGGGGAUUCAUUUCCUUAGUAACGUAGCUAAACGCGUGAAGUUGACCGCCUGGGGAGUACGGUCGCAAAGAUUAAAAACUCAAAUGAAUUGACGGGGUCAUAGCUGUUUCCU
rnacentral:rRNA from 1 species